GGAGGGACCUCGCUGGCUGAGCGAGCUGGAAGAGAGAAGCAAGGGGAGGGCACAGGGAAAGAAGAAGCGCUCGGCGCAGGGAGCUGGGCGCCAGAGCAGGAGGCUGCAGGGUGCGGCGUUGGGACACGCGCGGUCAAGCGAACUUGAGUUGGAGCCUGGGAGCAGGAAAUCAGGGCGACGGCGCGUGCACAGAGAAGCGACCGCGCCAUGGGCGUUCGCGGGCGGACGAACUAAGAAGCUUGAGGGAGCUCGGCGAGCUGCACGGGAGGAGCACGCAGGGAGGUACGCCGGCGAGGGAGCAGGAGAGAGAAGGGAGUGGCUGCGCGCGGCGAGGAAGCUCCAGAGAACUGCCAUGGGAGCUCAGCAGAGAGGAAACGCAGGGGAUGGGAGACGCGCUGGCAUGGGAGGAAACUGGGGGUCGCGGCAUGGGCGAUCUGGAACAAGCGAGCAGAGGGGCGCGGUCCGAGCGCCGGGCGCCGGGCGGAGUCGAGGGCGUGACCCAGGGCGAGCGCCGGCUGGAAGAAGAGCAGCGCGCACUGGAAAUAAC
rnacentral:misc_RNA from 1 species